rnacentral:tRNA from 1 species
CGUUCCAUGGUGAAAUGGUUGGCACUCUGGGCUUUGCAUCCAGUGAUCCUAGUUCAAAUCUCGGUGGAACCU